UACGUAGGGUGCAAGCGUUGUCCGGAAUCAUUGGGCGUAAAGAGCGUGUAGGCGGCUCGAUUAGUCCGCUGUGAAAGUCCAGGGCUCAACCCUGGGAUGCCGGUGGAUACUGUCGGGCUAGAGUACGGAAGAGGCGAGUGGAAUUCCCGGUGUAGCGGUGAAAUGCGCAGAUAUCAGGAGGAACACCAAUGGCGAAGGCAGCUCGCUGGGACGGUACUGACACUGAGACGCGAAAGCGUGGGGAGCAAACAGG
rnacentral:rRNA from 1 species